GUCAUGCUGAAAUAACAAAACACUAACCCCUGAAGUAGGAGGUCGUUCCAUAAAAAAUCACCAUGCGUGGUGAAGAAAACGCCAACAUAAUUCCCAUUUUGUUUAGGGUUUUUUCGCUCUUUGUAUGUGCGUUGUGUGUAAUAGGAGUUUCCAUAGUAUAUCUGAAUUUUGAUGUGUAUAUAUAUAGCUUUGGCAGUAAUUUUAUGGUUUUGGAGUUUCAUGUCAUGCUGCUAUAUUAAUUCCUUUUUUUCAUCUUUAUUUAAAAUCUUGUUAUGUUGUCAUUGCUGGAUUUCAUGGAUCAAUUUUGCUGCCAAUUUGAGUGCACCCCAUUUAUAGACCCCUUGUGUCGAAAUUCCACAUCUAAUUGAUGAGAUGAACAAAAUGCUAAUGUCAUUUCCCAGUUUGUGGAGUUUCUUGGAAUGCUACUUGUGCCUCAGUUGCAAGUUAGUUCUACAUGUGCAUUUUUGUUUUUGUAUCUUAAAACUGAAGUGUUUUCCCAAUUUGAUUCAGUUGGCAGAACUAUUGCCCCUGAAGGAAGAUAACAAAGAAACAAAAUUACCAAAUUACUUAUCUCACAUUAGGAUUUUUAUUUCAGUGCUUUGAUUUUCCAUUUCAUUUCCUUAUUUGCUCUUUUUCUGCAAUUUUCUUUCUUAUUUCUGAAACAUUCAAGGUUCAGUAAUCUCUGCAGAUUUUGCUAUCAGUUGCUGAGCAGCUUGAGGAAUCUUAUUUAACACACAUCAUGCUUCCCGUGUUUUUGGUAGCAGUUGGUGAAAAAUGCUGAUUUCAAAUUCUUCCACUCCAUUGUGCAGCCAAGAAUAACAGGCAAUUGUUUUCUGAACAAUUACCAAUUCUGGUAUCUAAAUAGUAAACUGUAUCUUUUAAGCAUUGUUUCUUCCAUUAUAGGUUUGAAACCCCGAACUUUAGUGGCCGAGAGACUUGCUACAGUGUGUCCACUACCAAUUCUACUAGUGGGCGUGCUAGGACACCCAAGCAAGCAUGAAGAAUUGACCCAGUAGUUGAGGAACCUUUUCAUUCAAAGUUUUGGAUUGGAAGGUCAGUCGGGAAAGAAUGAGAUUGUCAAUUCUGUUCGCUUUAUUUGGUUGGUAUAGUGGGAUUAAUUUUCAAAUCAUUGAGAUUGUGCUUCGACUUCAGCUAUUUGUGUAUUGAGUAUUAGCAUUUCCACUAUGCAGCAUCUUUGGAAAACGUCAUAGUAUGAUAUUUAACAUCACCUGGGAAUUUGUUAAAAGUUCUGCCAUGAAUUUGAAAAUAGUGCAGCCCAUUUUUUGAAAGUCAUUGUGAGUCUCUUUUUACUUUUAAAUAUUAGUCAUUUCCUUAUAAUUUUAUGGUUGCUUUUAGUACUUUGAUUUCUUGGUCUCUUAGGUGCAAUAUAUUGAUGCAUAGGUUGCCUCAACUCAUGUAUUGCCUGCUCUUGUAACUCUUGGUUCUGACCAAAACCUGAAUGUGAAAUAUGCCAACAUUGAUGCUUUUAAAGUUGUAUCUCAGCAUUUUAAAAGUGACAUGGUAUGUUUGUACCUUUAGAAUCAAGGUUUUGUUGAUUGGGCGUAGCUUUUAUAUGUCAACUGAAAAAAGUUUCCCGCUAGAUUGUUGACAAUAUAUGGGUCCAAAUGGAUGCUUUUCUUGAAGAUGGAUCAGUUGAAGCUACCAUUACUGUGGUUCGUGCACUGGCGUUUGCUGUACCACAUACAACAAAUAGGCUUCGAGAAUAUAUCAUUGAAACAUUUUUU
rnacentral:lncRNA from 1 species